rnacentral:rRNA from 1 species
AGAGGAAAGUGGAAUUCCCAGUGUAGCGGUGAAAUGCGUAGAUAUUGGGAGGAACACCAGUAGCGAAGGCGGCUUUCUGGACUGCAACUGACACUGAGGCACGAAAGCGUGGGUAGCAAACAGGAUUAGAUACCCUGGUAGUCCACGCUGUAAACGAUGAGUACUAGGUGUCGGGGGUUACCCCCCUCGGUGCCGCAGCUAACGCAUUAAGUACUCCGCCUGGGGAGUACGCACGCAAGUGUGAAACUCAAAGGAAUUGACGGGGACCCGCACAAGUAGCGGAGCAUGUGGUUUAAUUCGAAGCAACGCGAAGAACCUUACCUAAGCUUGACAUCCCUCGGACAGGUGUUUAAUCACACCCUUCCUUCGGGACUGAGGUGACAGGUGGUGCAUGGUUGUCGUCAGCUCGUGUCGUGAGAUGUUGGGUUAAGUCCCGCAACGAGCGCAACCCUUGUCUUUAGUUGCCAGCAUUCAGUUGGGCACUCUAGAGAGACUGCCAGGGAUAACCUGGAGGAAGGUGGGGAUGACGUCAAAUCAUCAUGCCCCUUAUGCUUAGGGCUACACACGUGCUACAAUGGGUGGUACAGAGGGUUGCCAAACCGUGAGGUGGAGCCAAUCCCUUAAAGCCAUUCUCAGUUCGGAUUGUAGGCUGAAACUCGCCUACAUGAAGCUGGAGUUACUAGUAAUCGCAGAUCAGAAUGCUGCGGUGAAUGCGUUCCCGGGUCUUGUACACACCGCCCGUCACACCACGGGAGUCGGAAACACCCGAAGCCGAUUAUCCAACCGCAAGGAGGAAGUCGUCGAAGGUGGCGUCGAUAACUGGGGUGAAGUCGUAACAAGGUAGCCG